UGAUACCAGGGGGAAAAGGUCAUAAAUCCGAUGCAGGCUUGCCUGCAAGAGUUUUUUUGACCUUGGACCCCGCCAAAAACAUGAAUAAGCAGCCAUUUUUCGCAGAAAAAUGAGCGGAUUAUGAAUGUUUUUGAGUAUUGUGAGAGCACAAAGUGCGGAACAAUACGGUAUCA
rfam:Clostridiales sp. SS3/4 draft genome.